AAUGUUUUGCAGGGGGACACGAUCGGUGUUGAGAAGGUAAAACCUGACCCUUAGAACCUGAUCCGUUAAUACGGGCGUAGGGAGCAACGUACAAUUUACA
rnacentral:ncRNA from 2 species